rnacentral:rRNA from 1 species
CCUGGGGUAAGCAUGUAGGGCGGAACGUAGGUAAAUCCGCGUUCUAUUCAGCCUGAGAUGUGAUGCCGAGCCGAUUGUGGUGAAGUGGAUGAUCCUAUGCUGCCGAGAAAAGCCUCUAGUGAGUGUUGUGGCGGCCCGUACCCUAAACCGACUCAGGUGGUCAGGUAGAGAAUACCAAGGCGAUCGGGUGAACUGUGGUUAAGGAACUCGGCAAAUUGCCCCCGUAACUUCGGGAGAAGGGGGACCUCUGCUGGUGAUGGGCUUUACGUUCUGAGCUGGUGGGGGUCGCAGUGGCCAGGGGGAAGCGACUGUUUACUAAAAACACAGGUCCGUGCGAAGUCGUAAGACGAUGUAUACGGACUGACGCCUGCCCGGUGCCGGAACGUUAAGGGGACCGCUUAGCCAACGCGAGUUGGCGAAGGUGAGAACUUAAGCGCCGGUAAACGGCGGUGGUAACUAUAACCAUCCUAAGGUAGCGAAAUUCCUUGUCGGGUAAGUUCCGACCUGCACGAAUGGCGUAACGACUUCCCCGCUGUCUCAACCACAGACCCGGCGAAAUUGCACUACGAGUAAAGAUGCUCGUUUCGCGCAGCAGGACGGAAAGACCCCGGGACCUUCACUACAGCUUGACAUUGGCGUUUGGAACGUCUUGUGUAGGAUAGGUGGGAGACUGGGAAGCUGUCACGCUAGUGAUGGUGGAGUCAUUGGUGAAAUACCACUCUGGUCGUUUUGAACGUCUAACUCUGGUCCGUGAUCCGGAUCGGGGACAGUGUCUGGUGGGUAGUUUAACUGGGGCGGUUGCCUCCUAAAGAGUAACGGAGGCGCCCAAAGGUUCCCUCAGCCUGGUUGGCAAUCAGGUGUUGAGUGUAAGUGCACAAGGGAGCUUGACUGUGAGACUGACAGGUCGAGCAGGAGCGAAAGCUGGGACUAGUGAUCCGGCGUCGGCGUGUGGAAGCGGUGUCGCUCAACGGCUAAAAGGUACCCCGGGGAUAACAGGCUGAUCUUCCCCAAGAGUCCAUAUCGACGGGAUGGUUUGGCACCUCGAUGUCGGCUCGUCGCAUCCUGGGGCUGGAGUAGUCCCAAGGGUUGGGCUGUUCGCCCAUUAAAGCGGUACGCGAGCUGGGUUUAGAACGUCGCGAGACAGUUCGGUCCCUAUCCGCUGCGCGCGCAGGAGACUUGAAGGGGGCUGUCCCUAGUACGAGAGGACCGGGACGGACGAACCUCUGGUGUGCCAGUUGUACCGCCAGGUGCACGGCUGGUUGGCUACGUUCGGAAGGGAUAACCGCUGAAAGCAUCUAAGCGGGAAGCUCGCCUUGAGAUGAGGUCUCCCACCCCGUGAGGGGGUAAGGCUCCCGGUAGAUCACCGGGUUGAUAGGCCGGAGGUGGAAGCACGGUAACGUGUGGAGCUGACCGGUACUAAUAGGCCGAGGACUUGACC